rnacentral:rRNA from 1 species
UACGAGGGGGGCAAGUGUUGUUCGGAAUCACUGGGCGUAAAGCGCGCGUAGGCGGCUUUGCAAGUCGAGUGUGAAAUCCCCAGGCUUAACCUGGGAACUGCAUUCGAGACUGCAUAGCUAGAGUAUGGGAGAGGGAAGUGGAAUUUCAGGUGUAGCGGUGAAAUGCGUAGAUAUCUGAAGGAACAUCAGUGGCGAAAGCGACUUCCUGGACCAAUACUGACGCUCAUGUGCGAAAGCGUGGGGAGCAAACAGG